rnacentral:lncRNA from 1 species
ACUGGAGUUGCUUCAGAUCUGUCCAGAAGAGAAGAUGAACAGAGGAAUUCAUAGCUAAAGAAAUCUGGGGAUGAAUAUGGAUUGCAGACUGCUGUGCUAUAUUGGCAGAGAAUAAUCAUGGAGGCUCCUUAAAUCAGAAUUCUAUGCAGCGUGAUACAUACAAAUAUUUUGGAGAUAAACGAUGAUGCAGAUAUACUUCUCCUGGGAUCCAAGCCAGCUCUGCACAGUGCUGCACUGUAUGAGCCUCCCGCUCCAAGACAACAGAAAUAUCAAUACAGUGUAUUAUC